rnacentral:rRNA from 1 species
GACGAACCGUACGAACGUUAUUCGGAAUCACUGGGCCUAAAGGGUGCGUAGGCGGCGCAGUAAGUUGGGUGUGAAAUCCCUCGGCUUAACCGAGGAAUUGCGCCCAAAACUACUGUGCUCGAGGGAGGUAGAGGUGAGCGGAACUUAGGGUGGAGCGGUGAAAUGCGUUGAUAUCCUAAGGAACACCGGUGGCGAAAGCGGCUCACUGGACCUCUUCUGACGCUGAGGCACGAAAGCUAGGGUAGCAAACGGG